rnacentral:rRNA from 1 species
CCUACGGGUGGCAGCAGUGAGGAAUAUUGGUCAAUGGGCGAGAGCCUGAACCAGCCAAGUCGCGUGAGGGAGUACUGCCCUAUGGGUUGUAAACCUCUUUUGUCGGGGAGCAAAAUCCGGACGUGUCCGGCUGUGAGAGUACCCGAAGAAAAAGCAUCGGCUAACUCCGUGCCAGCAGCCGCGGUAAUACGGAGGAUGCGAGCGUUAUCCGGAUUUAUUGGGUUUAAAGGGUGCGCAGGCGGAUUUUUAAGGUAGCGGUAAAAUCGUGGGGCUCAACCCCGGCCAGCCGUUGAAACUGGGGAUCUAGAGUGUGCGAGAGGUAUGCGGAAUGCGAGGUGUAGCGGUGAAAUGCAUAGAUAUCGCGCAGAACCCCGAUUGCGAAGGCAGCAUACCGGUGCACAACUGACGCUGAGGCACGAAAGCGUGGGUAUCGAACAGGAUUAGAUACCCUUGUAGUC